AUCAAUAAAUAACUAACACCUAAUCUAUUAUAAAAAAUUAUUAAAACAGCAAUAUCCAUUUAAAAAUGACUCGGUAAAAAGAAUGAAACAACUUUCCAGCCAUUACUUACGGUGGGGCGCUGAAAAAGCAGUCUGGAGGGCGGUGAGAAUAAGCCCCGCCGCAGCAGCAAGCACUGCAAUUAGUUUCCACCUCGUAGGGAUGUAAUCACGUCGAAGCACCCGAAACGAGUGCGUCCAAUUGUAACAAAAUGAAGCUAGAUUCCCCCUGAAAAUGUGCCACGUGAUUUUACAUGUUCCCGUGGCAGAAAGUGUGCUUGGGUAUGAAUUCAAAUCCAGAAUCACCUCACUAAUCCAAGGAUCUCUGUCAGUUUCCACCAGAUCGGAUUCAGAAAUUCCCUCUGUCAUCUUACGGAACAGAUCCACCAGAUCUUCCUCGCUCUUCACUCUUUUGCCCUCCUUGUCCGCCGCUACCGAUAUUACUUGGCUGUCCAGGAGCACUCUAACGUCGUGGACGGAACAAAUCAAACCCUUGAAGAACCAAGCAUAACAAAGAAAGUGAAACCUUAUUCCGGAUUCAUUCAUGACGUCAGAAAUAGCUCUUUCGCCGUUCUGUUUUUCCACCUUAUUUUUGUUCACCUCCCAAGCAAUGAAAUUCCGCCAUUUUGCUUCCGUGGUUUCAGUAAUUCGUAGCUGCGGAAUUUCUAGCUUCCCAUCGCUGAAUUUUACCCUCAAGUCAAACCUGCUCAUGGCUGCUACACUUGAAUCCCUGCGCUGUUCGUUAAUCGUACCUUCAAUUUUAACUCCAGCUGCUUGGAGCCUGGUAGCACAGCGAUCUAGUUUCACUUUUCUGUUAGUGCCCCUCUUAUCUUCUGCACUCUCUAUAUGGAUCUUCAAAUCCUUCUUCACUCUAUCCUUCUCCUUUUCCUUAUCUAUGGAAGCGUGAACAAGUUCAAGGAAAUGAAAAACCUUGAACUCCUGGGAGGUGGAAUCCAGGGUACCGUAAUUGUAGCCCAAGAUAGAAAGCGCACGCUCUUGUAUCAAUCUCUUACCAUCUUUGUCUGAAAAAACUUUGGGAAAAAGUACAUGGGACAACACGUAGAGAACAACAAGGGGGAUUUGGUUUUCAAGCAUGGUUAAAUCGGAUAACACCUUUUCCCAUAGUAUAACACGGGCUCCAGGACUAGGAUUGGAUAUGUAGCUCUGUAUUCGGUUGUCUAGUUCUGUUGAUGAACUAAUGAGAAGCUCUAGCAGAAAGCAGCCGUCCAAUACCAUAAUUUUUGCGAGUUUGCUGCUGUUGAACCCAAGGUCAUCAACACUGUAGCUUGCACGAACAACUUCAUCUAAUUUCAACAGAGAUCUGCCGCAAUUUCUCAAAGCUUCCUGUGGAUGUAUUUCGGAUCGAGAAAGGAGAUGCGUCAAGCAGCGCCAUUUGAUCUUUUCCAUGUGUUGAAGCUCCAUUAUUUUUCCCUGGUGAAGGGGUCCUAUGGAGACCACUUGCGGCAUGUAAGCUUCCGUUUUCGAUUUUCUAAGUUGGUUUGAAACAAGGUAAAUGCUACAUGUUUCCACGUUUUCGUUAUCCACACAACCCAGCAUCGUUGACAUAGAAUCAGCCCAUUCAUCCAAAAUGGUAAAAUUGAUCCAACCUCCACAAAAAGAACCAUGAGUCAAGAGAAGAUUACAAUAUGUCCACCAACAACAAAUCCUGGAUACCAAUUGGGAUUUGAACAGGAGAAACUACGUCCGGAAGUUAAAGUUUCCUAAUCUUGGAGGCAGAAGAACUAAAGGUACAUGAAGAAUUCCAGAAAGCAAACGAAGAACUUCAGCAAAUGGUGCGAAGACAAGAAACCCAUCACAAGUGGGGGAUUCACGACCAAUUCAGACAUAUAUAUGCUGACAUUCAGCCCUUCUAGCAAGAGAUCAUGGAUGAACUAGUCCACUCCAUUAUAUGGUCCCAAAAACACACCCAUUUUUGGGAUCAGGGACCUGGAGAACAACCUCAAGGCCUUCUGAGAUUAGAUGUUAAUCUUGGGAGCAGUACAUGCCAUGCGAAGUAAGAUGUUUGUUAGUUCUUGGGAACUGCUCUACAAUGUCACAUUUGUCCUGCUUUUACUCAAAUGUUCAUGUAACAGUUCGCAACUAAUAAAGUGAAACCAUCAAGGAUCACUGAACUAUUUGAUAAAAGGAUAGGAUAAUGAGAUUACCUCAAUCGUUUUUUCGA